GUCAGAUUUAGACAACCACACUUUGCAUACAUAUCGGUUAUAGCAUUUGAGACAAAGAGAUCAAUGACAGACCCAUUCCUUAUUGACCUGGCAUGUAUCUCCUUUCCUGAACGAAGACAACCAAUUCGUGCACAUGCAGGAAGAACAUUUGUCAGUGUAACAGAUGUUGGAGUUUCAUCGCUAGAUUGCAUCUUCCUGACAAGUCCUAUAGCCUCAAACUCAAGCCCAUUCUGAGCAAAAUUUGCAACCAU
rnacentral:misc_RNA from 1 species